AUACCUUUCUCGGCCUUUUGACUAAGAUUAAGUGUAUUAUCUAUUCUUAUCUAAUAAUUUCUAUAUUAAAUUUAUUUUUAGUAGGAAAAGCUUAAUACAACAACUUACUAUUGAGGUUCUCGUGUGUCGACCGAAGUGUUGCACCGCUGCCCAAUUCUUGUGCAUCCCAA
rnacentral:snRNA from 1 species